GGGGAGCUACAUCUAUUGUGUACAGAUGCAGGCAGAAGGGAACACAGAAACCCUAUGCUGUCAAAAUCUUGAAGAAAACUGCUUUGCCUGCUGAGGAGCUCUGUGUUACUCUAAAGAAGUUGUUCCAAGAACAGGUAGACAAGAAGAUUGUUCGAACAGAAAUAGGAGUUCUACUUCGACUUUCACAUCCAAAUAUUAUAAAACUGAAGGAGAUAUUUGAAACUCCCACAGAAAUCAGCCUUGUCUUGGAGUUGGUCACGGGAGGAGAACUGUUUGACAGGAUUGUGGAAAAGGGAUAUUACAGUGAGCGAGAUGCCGCUGAUGCUGUGAAACAAAUCCUGGAGGCAGUUGCAG